rnacentral:rRNA from 1 species
AUUGAACGCUGGCGGCAUGCCUUACACAUGCAAGUCGAACGGCAGCACGGGAGCAAUCCUGGUGGCGAGUGGCGAACGGGUGAGUAAUAUAUCGGAACGUGCCCAGUCGUGGGGAUAACGUAGCGAAAGCUACGCUAAUACCGCAUACGAUCUAUGGAUGAAAGCGGGGGAUCGCAAGACCUCGCGCGAUUGGAGCGGCCGAUAUCAGAUUAGGUAGUUGGUGAGGUAAAGGCUCACCAAGCCGACGAUCUGUAGCUGGUCUGAGAGGACGACCAGCCACACUGGGACUGAGACACGGUCCAGACUCCUACGGGAGGCAGCAGUGGGGAAUCUUGGACAAUGGGCGAAAGCCUGAUCCAGCAAUGCCGCGUGCAGGAUGAAGGCCUGGUGU